AGUUUUGAUAACGUAAGUGGUGGUGGGAAAUGUCGAGCUUUCUCCAUUGCUGGAAUCCCCUUUCGAAUUGGAGUAUCUCCCAAAUUUGAGUUUCUUGAUCCGAUUGCAUUUGUGGAGAUUAUUAACUUACAAGUUUGAGAAGAAGGGGUUAAUGAUAUAUCCAUACAUAUCCUUGAUAAAACUGGUGGGCCAACUGUGGGGAAAUAAAGCCAGCAACAUUAGUCUUGCAACCAAGAAAGGGCAGGCGAUCAAAAAAUUGAUGUUAGCAAAUCUAACACAAAAGUGCCGAGUAUACAAUGAAGCUGAUGAGAGCAAUCCCGGAGAGUGUGGUUGUUAGGACUAACGGAGAGUGAAUAUCCAGAUUUCAGCAUUGAAGAGAAGUUAAAUGUUUUUGUUGCGUUGAUUGAUCUACUCAGAGUUGGUUCCAGUAUCAAAAUGGAGGGCUAAAGAUACAACCCAGAUUCAGAGUCGGUCCUUGAAUUUCUUGCCAAAACACUGCCAACGGGCUGUGGUGACAUUAGACUCCAAAGGCUGCAACGGGAAACACGGAAAAGAGGCAUGUUCUAUGUGCCGUGUGUUCCACUUGACGUUUUAGUUCCAGCUCUAACCACCAAAGUGGAAACAACAAGCAUCAGAUGAACAUCACAAGGGCAAUGAGUAAUGUCAGACAAACCAAAAUCAUCAUAUGAGAUUUCUGCUACUGUAUAUAAUUUUCCAAAAUUCUAUUUGCGACAUUGACGAGGAGGAGGCUCCGUCAAAAGUUCUAUUAGCGCUCAUGAAAUAUGCUGGAAAUUGGAGAAUUUUCUGGAAGGAAGAAAAGGGAACAGUUUCUGCAGUUGAACUCUUGCAUCCAUUUGUGCAAAACCUGGAUAAGUAUUUGGUGUCCAUAUUAGCAGCAGUGAUGCCUUCUAAGAAAUGCCGGAAACAAAUGGUGGUGGCCUGUGCACGUGGUUAUUUGCAGAAGCUCGUUGGGUGAGCUGGCGCAAGUUUAUGGGGACUCUUUCUCAGGUCUUAAGUUGACCAACAACAGAAGAGGCGAUCGAGUUUGGAUAUAUUAAUCUGCUAUCAAAUAAUUGAUGUUAGCAAAUCUAACACAAAAGUGCUGAGUAUACAAUGAAGUUGAUGAGAGCAAUCCAGGAGAGUGUGGUUGUUAGGACUAACGGAGAGUGAAUAUCAAGAUUUCAGCAUUGAAGAGAAGUUAAAUGCUUUUGUUGCGUUGAUUGAUCUACUCAGAGUUGGUUCCAGUAUCAAAAUGGAGGGCUAAAGAUACAACCCAGAUUCAGAGUCGGCCCUUGAAUUCCUUGCCAAAACACUCUCAACGGGCUGUGGUGACAUUAGGCUCCAAAGGCUGCAACGCGAAACAUGGAAAAGAGGCAUGUUCUAUGUGCCGUGUCUUCCACUUGACGUUUUAAUUCCAACUCUAACCACCAAAGUGGAAACAAGAAGCAUCAGAUGAACAUCACAAGGGCAAUGAGUAAUGUCAGACAAACCAAAAUCAUCAUAUGAGAUCUCUGCUACUGUAUAUAAUUUUCCAAACAUCUAUCUGCGACAUUGACGAGGAGGAGGCUCCGGCAAAAGUUCUAUCAGCGCUCAUAUGCUGGAUAUUGGAGAAUUUUCUGGAAGGAAGAAAAGGGAACAGUUUAUGCAGUUAAACUCUUGCAUCCAUUUGUGCAAAACCUGGAUAAGUAUUUGGUGUCCAUAUUAGCAGCAGUGAUGCGUUCUAAGAAAUGCAAGAAACAAAUAGUGGUGGCCUGUAUUUGCAGAAGCUCGUCGAGUGGGAUGGCGCAAGUUUAUGGUGCUCUUUCUCAGGCCUUAAGUUGAGCAACAACAGAAGAGGUGACCGAGUUUGGAUACUGUUAAUCUGCUAUAAAAAAAUUGAUGUUAGCAAAUCUAACACAAAAGUGCUGAGUAUACAAUGAAGCUGAUGAGAGCAAUCCAGGAGAGUGUGGUUGUUAGGACUAACGGAGAGUGAAUAUCCAGAUUUCAGCAUUGAAGAGAAGUUAAAUACUUUUGUUGCGUUGAUUGAUCUACUCAGAGUUGGUUCCAGUAUCAAAAUGGAGGGCUAAAGAUACAACCCAGAUUCAGAGUCGGCCCUUGAAUUUCUUGCCAAAACACUGCCAACGGGCUGUGGUGACAUUUGGCUCCAAAGGCUGCAGCGCAAAACACGGAAAAGAGGCAUGUUCUAUGUGCCGUGUCUUCCACUUGACGUUUUAGUUCCAACUCUAACCAUCAAAGUGGAAACAAGAAGCAUCAGAUGAACAUCACAAGGGCAAUGAGUAAUGUGAGACAAACCAAAAUCAUCAUAUGAGAUCUCUGCUACUGUAUAUAAUUUUCCAAAAUUCUGUCUGCGACAUUGACGAGGAGGAGGCUCCGGCGAAAGGUCUAUGAGCGCUCAUGAAAUAUGCUGGAAAUUGGAGAAUUUUCUGCAAGGAAGAAAAGGGAACAGUUUCUGCAGUUAUACUCUUGCAUCCAUUUGUGCAAAACCUGGAUAAGUAUUUGGUGUCCAUAUUAGCAGCAGUCAUGCCUUCUAAGAAAUGCCGGAAACAAAUGGUGGUGGCCUGUGCACGUGGUUAUUUGCAGAAGCUCGUCGGGUGGGCUGGCGCAAGUUAAUGGGGACUCUUUCUCAGGCCUUAAGUUGAGCAACAACAGAAGAGGCUAUCAAAAAAUUGAUGUUAGCAAAUCUAACACAAAAGUGUUGAGUAUACAAUGAAGCUGAUGAGAGCAAUCCAGGAGAGUGUGGUUGUUAGGACUAACGGAGAGUGAAUAUCCAGAUUUCAGCAUUGAAGAGAAGUUAAAUACUAUUGUUGCGUUGAUUGAUCUACUCAGAGUUGGUUCCAGUAUCAAAAUGGAGGGCUAAUGAUACAACCCAAAUUCAGAGUCGGCCCUUGGAUUUCUUGCCAAAACACUGCCAACGGGCUGUGUGACAUUA